rnacentral:rRNA from 1 species
GACGAACGCUGGCGGCGUGCUUAACACAUGCAAGUCGAACGAAAAGGCCCUGCUUUUGUGGGGUGCUCGAGUGGCGAACGGGUGAGUAACACGUGAGUAACCUGCCCUUGACUUUGGGAUAACUUCAGGAAACUGGGGCUAAUACCGGAUAGGAGCUCCUGCUGCAUGGUGGGGGUUGGAAAGUUUCGGCGGUUGGGGAUGGACUCGCGGCUUAUCAGCUUGUUGGUGGGGUAGUGGCAUACCAAGGCUUUGACGGGUAGCCGGCCUGAGAGGGUGACCGGCCACAUUGGGACUGAGAUACGGCCCAGACUCCUACGGGAGGCAGCAGUGGGGAAUAUUGCACAAUGGGCGGAAGCCUGAUGCAGCAACGCCGCGUGCGGGAUGACGGCCUUCGGGUUGUAAACCGCUUUCGCCUGUGACGAAGCGUGAGUGACGGUAAUGGGUAAAGAAGCACCGGCUAACUACGUG